rnacentral:rRNA from 1 species
GAUGAACGCUAGCGGCAGGCUUAACACAUGCAAGUCGAGGGGUAGAAGUUGCUUGCAACUUUGAGACCGGCGCACGGGUGCGUAACGCGUAUGCAACCUACCUUUUACAGAGGGAUAGCCCAGAGAAAUUUGGAUUAAUACCUCAUAGUAUAUAAUCUUCGCAUGUUGGUUAUAUUAAAGUUCCAACGGUAAAAGAUGGGCAUGCGUCCUAUUAGCUAGUUGGUGUGGUAACGGCACACCAAGGAGACGAUAGGUAGGGGUCCUGAGAGGGAGAUCCCCCACACUGGUACUGAGACACGGACCAGACUCCUACGGGAGGCAGCAGUGAGGAAUAUUGGACAAUGGGCGCAAGCCUGAUCCAGCCAUGCCGCGUGCAGGAAGAAGCAUCUAUGGUGUGUAAACUGCUUUUGUACAGGAAGAAACACCCCUUCGUGAAGGGACUUGACGGUACUGUAAGAAUAAGGAUCGGCUAACUCCGUGCCAGCCGCCGCAGUAAAAC